rnacentral:rRNA from 1 species
AUAUAGUUAUAUUGGCUUUGAGAUUUAAGAUUUUUAUAAGUUUUAUUGUUAUAUAUUUAAGAAUUAAUUUAAGGAAUAUAUUUUACUGUGAGGGGUAUAUGAAAUAGUUUUAUAAUUAAAUAUAGAUAAAGAUAUAAAUUUACCUUUUGUAUUAGGGGUUAAUAAUUGUGUUUAAAUAUUUAAAGUUCUCGAAGAAUAAAGAGUUAAUGUAGUAUUUUAAUAUUGUUGAAUAAAUAUUAAGAAUAUUAUGUUGGUAAUGAAAUUUUAAUCAUUUUAUUGGAUAUCUGGUUAUAUUAAAAUUUUACAGAAAAUUUUAUAAUGGGUUUUUAUUUUGGAAGAUUAUAAAUUGAAUUAUAGGGAUAAGCUUAUAUUUUGACUAUAGGGAAAAUAGAUAAAUAUUAAAGGCUUAUAAUUAGCUUAAUAUUGUAAUAAAUGGUUAUAUUAAAAAAAAUUUAUUAGUUAAGUAAUAUUAUAUAUAUAAUUUUUUAUUUAUUUAAUAAUGUUAGUAUGAGUAUAAUUUGAUGGAGGAUAGUUGAUUUAAUUUUUAAGAAUUCGGCAUGGUAUUAAUGGGGUGAAAUAUGUAGAUUUGACUGUUUAACAAAAACAUUUCUUUACGUUUUGUAUAAAGUAUAUUCUGCUCAAUGUUAUUAUCAAUUGCCGUGGUAUUUUAACUAUGCGAAGGUAUUGAAAUAAGUCUUUAAUUGGGAGCUAAGAGAAUGGAUGGACAAGUUUAAACUUUUUUGAGAUUAAUAUUAUAAUUUUUUGUUAUAGUGAGGAUUCUAUAAUAGUAUAAUGGGACGAGAAGACCCUAUGAAUUUUUAUAUAUGAUAUGAAUGUAAUAUAUUUUGGAUUUAUUUAUAAAUUUAAUUGGGGCGAUUUUAAAUAAAGUGUAACUUUAUGUAGAUCCUAUAGUAUUGGAUUUAGGGAGAAAAAUACUCUAGGGAUAACAGCGUAAUCAUUUUUGAUAGUUCAUAUAUAAAAAAUGGUUUGCGACCUCGAUGUUGGGUUAAUAAGUCUUUUAGGUGUAGAAGCUUAAAAAGAGAGUUUGUUCAACUUUUAAAUUAUUACAUGAUCUGAGUUCAGACCGGCGUGAGCCAGGUUAGUUUCUAUCUAUUUAGUAAUAUUUUUAAUAUUAGUACGAAAGGAAUAUAUUGUUAUAAUUAUUAUUAAUAAUGUAA